AUACUUGCCUGGCGUCGGGACUACGAUGAUCAAUAAGGUCGUUUCCCCUAGUCUACACCUUUGCAUUGCACUUUAGCUUGGGCUGAAAAUGGCGAUCGCAGCUAUAAUGUUUGCAACUCGGUCGUACGAAGC